rnacentral:Y_RNA from 1 species
AGCUAGUCCAAGUGCGGUGGUGUUUACAACCAAUUGAUCACAACCAGUUACAGAUUCCUUUUGUUCCUUCAUUCCCACUGCUUCACUUGACUAGCCUUUU